GCCUAACCCUAAACAUAGACAGUCAAACACACAACACUGUUCGCCAGAGAACUACAAACGAAAAGUUUAAAACUCUAAGGAUUUGGCGGUACCCUAUUCCGACCUAGAGGAGCCUGUCCUAUAAUCGAUACCCCACGUUAUACCCGACCACCCCUUGCAUUUCAGCCUAUAUACCGCCGUCGUCAGCCUACCUUAUGAGAGAAACAAAGUAAGCAGAACAGUUAAUAACUAAUACGUCAGGUCAAGGUGUAGCAUAUGGGACGGAAGAGAUGGGCUACAUUUUCUUAAAUAGAAAACACGAACGGCACUAUGAAACAAGUGCCAGAAGGCGGAUUUAGCAGUAAGGUAAAUAAGACACUUCACCUAAAGCCCGCUCUGGGGUGCGCACACACCGCCCGUCA
rnacentral:rRNA from 1 species